CAUAAAUAUCGACGGUGUGCCCUCGCAUAGAAGACAAACAGGCGCUGAACAUGGGAGCCGAAUGAGAAAUUACGAGCAUUAUCUUUCCCCUGAUUCGUCGAUCGAUAUCGUAGCAAUUAUCGAAGGUUAAACGAGAAUGGAUGAAACUUAUUUGUAUUAUUUUCCUAUGACGUUACUUCGAUGAGUAUUACAAGAAGGUUUUAAUACGUCAAUUUCAACUGCAAUUUAUAUUUUAUUAUCUUCAUUUUUGAAAAUAAAAAAGUAAAUCUAAUAAAAGCAUUCUGCUCGCUAUUACCGAGGCCACGGGGAAUCGAAAAAAAAUCACUCCGGUUAUUUUAUGACCACACCUCGUAUCUCUAUUAUAGUAUUAGUAAAAUUUCAUUCGCAGAAGCACACGUACGCGCGUAUUAAACUUCAAAUAAUUAUAUAAUUAAAUUAUAUAAUUAAAAUAAUCACGUAUAUUCAAUUAAUAUAUUGGAAUUCAAAUAUUACAAUUUUUCUUAAUCUCUGAAAUAAAAAAGAAUGGAAAUAUAUAGGUAUCAGACAUAAAUAUGACGUAUAUAAAAUUUCCAUUCGCGAUAGAAUUGAAAAAAAUGACUUUUCUCUCGUUUAUACGUAAACUUCGGAAUAGUUAAUAUUCCGCUCACGAAAUUUCGAAAUAGACUUUACCUGCUCUUUUCAAGUUCCAUCAAAAAGCGAGGCACAAAGAGAGAGAGAGAAAGAGAAAUAUAGAGAAAGAGAAAGGGAGAGGAUAAAACGUUAUUUCACGUUUCGUGCGUUGAUAACAAAAUCGCCAUUUCUAUAAUUAACUUUGCACUAUCGCGUUCGAAGUUUUCGUAUAUAUAGCUCCUACUAUAUAUAUAUAUAUAUAUAUAUAUAUAUAUAUAUAUAUAUAUAUAUAUAUAUAUAUAUAUAUAAAGAUGGACGAGGACGAGACAAUUUAUAGAUAAAAGAGAGAACUCGAUUCUGAUCGCAUAGUCGAGGAAGUGGAAUCGACUUGACUCGACUCGACUCGACUCGACUCGACUCGAGAAAGCAAUUAUAUGCAGUGUUACGAAAUUACCUCGGUGCUAUGCUCGCGACGUCACAAAAGCGACAGAUUCUUUGUGACGAUGUGCACUGACCUGAUUUUCAGAUGCGCGUUUCGUAGAGUCGAAAAGAAGCAAAGAAAAAAAAGAAGAGAAGAGAAGAGAAGAGAAGAAGAUAAAAAGAGAAAAAAGAGAGAGAGAGAGAGAGAGAGAAAGUCUGUUCGUAUCAACAAAGUUUCACGAACUCGACCUCUCGAUUAAAUACAAGUUGAGCGAAUGAUCAAGUUUCUGAAUUAACAAAUUAAGAAAAAAAAAUACAAGAAAAAGAGUAAUAAUAAAUAAUAAUAAAAAUGUUGGUAUGAUAAAAUAUCGAUUGAUAAUGACGAUAAAGUCGCUUCUUCCGAAGAUUCGAUUGGAAUGAAUUUCAAAUUGAAAUUGGAAGCAUUCGUUAGACCCUUGUAAGAGAGAGGAGAGUAUCUUUGAGUACCGAAAAUAAAGGAGACACACACACACGCACACACAGAGAGAGAGGUAGAGGAAAGGAAAUUGAAACUUGCUUCGAUUCGCGGUGUCUCGUUUAACGAGGUUGAUUGAAUUACGUCGUAGAAUUACGUUCACCUGCUAGAUCGUAGCUACCCGCGAAUUUCUGCCUGAGUGAACGCGUUACUCUACCGUUAGCUGAUGGUAUUGCUGUUGCUGAUGUAUAUGCAUGUGUGUGUGUGUAACGUUUAAAGAGAUACGGAUGUAUCCGAGGCAAAGGACCAUUCAAAGCAGUGCAAAAGAGGCUUCGGUUAUCUUCGUGACUUUAAACGAGUAUCCAUUGUAGUCCAAAUGGGGUAACUCUGAUAAGAGAGAGAUAGAGAGAGAGAGAGAGAGAGAGAGAGAGAGAGAGAGAGAGAGAGAGAGAAAAUCAUUCGAGUGUACGUGUGUGAUCGAGCAAAGAGAAGAAGAAGCGACGUCAUUUGACAGUUGAAAACUAUUUUAUUAAUCAUAUAUAAAUCUCGAUGACGAUAAUGACGAUAACGACGACGACGACGACGACGAUGAUGAUUUGAUCGUAAUCGAUAGCACGUUCUCACGUUUUAUCAUCUCGCUGAUGAUAAAAGGAGGGGCAAAAGUAAGCUGUUCGUCGAAAAAAAAAUAUUAUUUUUUAUUCUAGUUAGAUCAUUGAUAAGUAACUUUAUUUUUUCUCUUGCUUUUUUUUUCAUUUUCAUUCGAUUGAAAUAAUAUUGACGAUAUGAAGAUAUUUGAUUGAAUUGUAUGAGACCAGUAGAAGACGAAUUCGAAAUGCUUCAGAAACAGAAGUAGAGAGACAGAGAGAGAGAGAGAGAGAGAGAGAGAGAGAGAGAGAAUCUCUCUAGAGAGAAUCUUCUAGUGAAUAGCUCAAUUAGGAACGAUCGAGAGCUACAAAGAGCCGGAUAUUGUUGCAUUUUCGAGAUUAUCCAUGUUAAUGGUAGGAAAGUAAACUCCAG